GGAGGAGCAGAGCAGCUGCAGGAGCAGCCUGGACAUUUAAGUUAUAUGUUUGUGCGUUAAUGCAGAAAAGAAACCACACACACAUACAUACACACACACACGAAGAUACGUAGAUUGAUCCUCAUAACACGGAACCACGAAUGAGACACGAGACACAAGAUAUGCCAAUCUCCUUUGUUCAAAGUGGCCUCUGUAAAUCUACGUGUCUGUCACAGAAUAAAACCCUUGAGCUGUGAA